rnacentral:rRNA from 1 species
AGGGUUUGAUUAUGGCUCAGAACGAACGCUGGCGGCAGGCCUUAUACAUGCAAGUCGAGCGCAUCCUUCGGGAUGAGCGGCGGACGGGCGAGUAACGCGUGGGAAUGUGCCCUUCUCUACGGAAUAGCCACUGGAAACGGUGAGUAAUACCGUAUACGCCCUCAGGGGGAAAGAUUUAUCGGAGAAGGAUCAGCCCGCGUUAGAUUAGGUAGUUGGUGGGGUAACGGCCUACCAAGCCUACGAUCUAUAGCUGGUUUUAGAGGAUGAUCAGCCACACUGGGACUGAGACACGGCCCAGACUCCUACGGGAGGCAGCAGUAGGGAAUCUUGGACAAUGGGGGCAACCCUGAUCCAGCCAUGCCGCGUGAGUGAAGAAGGCCCUAGGGUCGUAAAGCUCUUUCGCCUGUGAUGAUAAUGACAGUAGCAGGUAAAGAAACCCCGGCUAACUCCGUGCCAGCAGCCGCGGUAAUUC